UGUGUAGGUGGCUGAGUAAGUCAGAGAUGAAAUCCCGUGGCCUAACUGCGGAACUGUCUUUGAGACUGCUCGGCUUGAGGAUAGUGGAGGAGAAUGGAAUUCCCGGUGGAGCGGUGAAAUGCGUAGAUAUCGGGAGGAACACCCGAGGCGAAGGCGAUUCUCUAAGCUAUUCCUGACACUGAAACACGAAAGCUAGGGGAGCGAACGGGAUUAGAUACCCCGGUAGUCCUAGCCAUAAACGAUGGACACUAGAUAUUCCUGCGUUUAUGUGGGAGUGUCGAAGCUAACGCGAUAAGUGUCCCGCCUGGGGAGUACGGUCGCAAGGCUGAA
rnacentral:rRNA from 1 species